ACGUUAGCGGCGGACGGGUGAGUAACACGUGGAUAACCUACCUAUAAGACUGGGAUAACUUCGGGAAACCGGAGCUAAUACCGGAUAACAUAUUGAACCGCAUGGUUCAAUAGUGAAAGGCGGCUUUGCUGUCACUUAUAGAUGGAUCCGCGCCGUAUUAGCUAGUUGGUAAGGUAACGGCUUACCAAGGCAACGAUACGUAGCCGACCUGAGAGGGUGAUCGGCCACACUGGAACUGAGACACGGUCCAGACUCCUACGGGAGGCAGCAGUAGGGAAUCUUCCGCAAUGGGCGAAAGCCUGACGGAGCAACGCCGCGUGAGUGAUGAAGGUCUUCGGAUCGUAAAACUCUGUUAUCAGGGAAGAACAAAUGUGUAAGUAACUGUGCACAUCUUGACGGUACCUGAUCAGAAAGCCACGGCUAACUACGUGCCAGCAGCCGCGGUAAUACGUAGGUGGCAAGCGUUAUCCGGAAUUAUUGGGCGUAAAGCGCGCGUAGGCGGUUUUUUAAGUCUGAUGUGAAAGCCCACGGCUCAACCGUGGAGGGUCAUUGGAAACUGGAAAACUUGAGUGCAGAAGAGGAAAGUGGAAUUCCAUGUGUAGCGGUGAAAUGCGCAGAGAUAUGGAGGAACACCAGUGGCGAAGGCGACUUUCUGGUCUGUAACUGACGCUGAUGUGCGAAAGCGUGGGGAUCAAACAGGAUUAGAUACCCUGGUAGUCCACGCCGUAAACGAUGAGUGCUAAGUGUUAGGGGGUUUCCGCCCCUUAGUGCUGCAGCUAACGCAUUAAGCACUCCGCCUGGGGAGUACGACCGCAAGGUUGAAACUCAAAGGAAUUGACGGGGACCCGCACAAGCGGUGGAGCAUGUGGUUUAAUUCGAAGCAACGCGAAGAACCUUACCAAAUCUUGACAUCCUUUGACCGCUCUAGAGAUAGAGUCUUCCCCUUCGGGGGACAAAGUGACAGGUGGUGCAUGGUUGUCGUCAGCUCGUGUCGUGAGAUGUUUGGGUUAAGUCCCGCAACGAGCGCAACCCUUAAGCUUAGUUGCCAUCAUUAAGUUGGGCACUCUAAGUUGACUGCCGGUGACAAACCGGAGGAAAGGUGGGGGAUGACGUCGAAUCAUCA
rnacentral:rRNA from 1 species